rnacentral:SRP_RNA from 1 species
GUCGGGCACGGUGGCGCAUGCCUGUAAUCCCAGCACUUUGGGAGGCUGAGGUGGGUGGAUCACUUGAGGUCAGGAGUUUAAGACCAGCCUGGCCAACAUAGUGAAACCCCAUCUCUA